CAAGCCGUACACGAGCACCUUCCCUUGCCACACACACGUGCAAAAAAAAAAAGGGCCAAGCGCCCAGCCUUGCUCACGCCCCUGUAGUCGCACGCCCCCUUCUCGCGUAGCCCUGCGCCGCCGCCAGUAUCUCGAAGAGCAGAGCGCCGCCGCCCCUGGUUCGUCUCGCGUGCCUGCGACUCCCUGCUUGCCCUCCACCUUUCCCAGCGCCGCUGGAAGGCCCCUGCGCCGCCCUUCUUGGAGUGCCGCCACCAGGAACAUCACGAGCACCUUGUGCCCCCUUCUUCUCGUCGAAUUGCAGGAGCACGAAGCCAAGACCCUGCGCCGUUUCUGCUGCAGCUGUGCGCGCUGCCCCCUGCGCGCAUCCGCUCCCAACCAAUCUCGCGCAGAACGCUGACUUCCAGGCGCAGUGCUACUGCAUGCUGGAGCCGAUCGCCCAGGUCUGCAGCGAUCUGGCCUCCUGCCCGAGCCCUACGCUUCGCCUGCUGUCAUGGCCCUGGGAAAUCACGAGCACAAGCGUCCUGCAUAACGUCUCAUCUCACUCGUUUCCGGCUAUGUGAUCGUCACCGGAAGCCACGGUUAUGUGCAGAUCGCCGCCGCCGUCUCCGAGCAGACCAGCGGCGCCUCCUUCCCGGCGAGAUUCCGGCUGCUUCGAAAGGAACGCAGUUCGAGAGCUCUGAAGAUGAAGAGUUGCAAGAGCAAGAGUUGAAGGCUCUUAGCAGUUAUUAUCUGGAUUUAAGGCAAGUAUAUUCCUUGAUCAUAUUUCUGUCCUAAUAACAUUUAUUUUAAGCUUGCAUGCAUUAAUAUUGAUGGGUACCUAUUGUCCUAUUUGAUUAUCUUUGUCGUUGAAUAGCCGGGUUCUUUUAUUAAAAUCUUUUGGGUAGUUUGCUUAGUUGCUGAACAAUGAUUAUGGGUGGUUUACAAUAAUGCUACUUGAGACAUGAUUCUAUAUUCUAUACUCUUUUGGAACAAUAUGAUGAAUUUGUGAACUUGAUUCGAAUCAACCAUGGAGCGACCACCCGGGAAAACAGCGCAACCAUAAGGACUACAUGGCUCUGUUCUUGGUUGAUUAAUUAGAUUUCUCUAGCAUGAUAGUAGCUUACCGAAAGGCGCAAGAGGGGGGACUAGGUUUAAGAGGGGUACUCGGCCUGCCAAAGGGGUUGCUACGCCUACGGGGUACACUCGCUUUGGGGGAGGGUGCACUCGCCUAGCGGCUGAAACUUUAGCGGGCUACUACUUGUUAGGGAGUCUUUGUAAAAGCCUCGUAGCAUCCCUAUGCAGCCAUACCUAAGGAAGUGUGGUAUUGUGCCUAAUCAGCACAUGCGUGGUUGGGUUUAAAUCUCUUUGGAACUUUUACGCGACUUGUGGGUAAAGUGUGCAACCUCUGCAGAGUGAAAAUUUAUAUAUCAGUCGUGCUCACGGUCAAAAGCGGCUCGGACCCUCACAUGUCUACUUAAUGGAAAUCAUUGAUUAAUUCAGUUAUUAAUUGUUCCAAGCUAUUUAUUUUCAGACAUAUAUUUCUUUUUCAUAAAUGCGGGUUGGAUCAAAUCAUAGCUUAGUAAAUAUGUUGUUAAUAUUCAACUAUUAAUUAAAAUGCUUACGCUUUAUCCAGCCAGCCUAUAUCCUUGCUUAAGCCUUGCAUGUCAUUUAUUUUUCUAAUAUACUUGCUGAGUACGAUAUGUGCUCACCCUUACUAUAACCACACUGCUCAGAGGAGAAAGUUGCAAUAAAACUGAAGAUGUUGCUGAGUUCUAGGUGCACGCAACCCCCGGUCGAUUGCCUGUGAAGUGUGGUGCCGUCGUUUCCAGGAUAAAGCUGUGUAUCUCUGAUAGACUUUUAUUCGUUGUAAGUCUCUUUUACGUGAUAUUGUUGUUCAUUAUUCUAUUAUGACGUCGCUAUAUGUAUGAAACUUGAUCUUAACAUACAUAUAGUUAUGCAUUCGGUUUUCUUUUAAAAACCGGGUGUGACAUUGGUCUUGAACACUUUUGAUCGUUUGGUUACACAGAUUUUAUUGUUAUGUAAACUGCAGUCUGGCCAAAAACUGUAGUUUAGAUAUUCUCUCAAAA